CAGCAGCCGCGGUAAAACAGAGGGUGCGAGCGUUAAUCGGAUUUACUGGGCGUAAAGCGUGCGUAGGCGGCUUCUUAAGUCGGAUGUGAAAUCCCUGAGCUUAACUUAGGAAUUGCAUUCGAUACUGGGAAGCUAGAGUAUGGGAGAGGAUGGUAGAAUUCCAGGUGUAGCGGUGAAAUGCGUAGAGAUCUGGAGGAAUACCGAUGGCGAAGGCAGCCAUCUGGCCUAAUACUGACGCUGAGGUACGAAAGCAUGGGGAGCAAACAGGAUUAGAUACCCCCGUAGUCCCUGUCUCUUAUAC
rnacentral:rRNA from 1 species